UUGGGUGGGCAGACAAGCAUCAGGUAGCAAUGUUACUUCAUUCUCAUCCUUUCUUUUUGGAGUAAAGUUUGUAAUUUAGACAUGGCAAUCUCAUAACUGAAUGAUUUCUCAUGUGCCUUUGUUAAGUUAUCUAAUAAUAUUUCCAUUAAUGGUGGAGAUAAGAUUUUCUAUGCAAUUUGUAGAUAUGCUCUUUUGCUUCAUUAAGUCAACGUGAUGGAUGUCAUGUGGAAGCUCACAGCUGCUACUGCCAUUUUCCUAACUUUGCCUCCUACACUACUAUAAUAUAAUUUGAUCAACUUUUUCUGAACUUUUAUUUAUAACACUAUCUUAUUGCUGAAUAUAAUCUAAUUUGAGGUUUUCGUUAUUUUUUUAAUGGAAAUCAUUAAAUUUUUUAUGUGAUUUCAUCAUAGCUUUCAAAGUUCUUACUAUAAGUUACUUAUAGUUUAGGGUACUUGUAUGUAAGUAUAGUUGCUAGCAGCCAGCAUGAUGUUAGUUGUGAUAGUGAAAGUGCAACUGUGUCUAAAAGUAUGCUUUAGUGUAAAGUAUUACCCAGUCAUAAUGUCUGAUGUUUGUUGUGAUACUCAUUUUAUAGCCAUUAGAAGGAAAACUAGGAGUGUAUCACUUUAUUUCUGUACAAUGAUAUUACUGUGGAAGGACUGUUAAGUGCUGAACUAAUGUACCACACAUUAGUGAGUUGCUAUAGAUCUUGGUGUCUCCCAAGAACAAAAUGCCUCAAGGGAAGUAGGUAGAGGGGUAUGCAUCAAAUGUUUUUCUUAUGAAAUAAGUAUACAAAUGUCAAUAAGUGGUGUUUUGAGUAAGAUUAUGGUUGACGAUUAAGCGUUCAGAUCAUUUAGUUUUUGGCCACCAUUGCGACCACAAAAAUUAGGAUCUGUAGAUAAGCAUAAGGUUUGCCUCUGCCUCAGCACCUUUUGUGCAAUUUUAAGAAGUCGGCAUUGAUAAAAGUGUUUACGAUAACUAGAAAAUGGUAGAAACAGUAAAAGGAAGUUAUAUUAAUGGGCCAACUUGAGGUUUAAAUCUCACUAAGCAAAAAAUUAAAAAGACAAGAUUACGGGAAAUACAUUGCAUCUUUUGCUGAAAUCAGGAAAGUAAGGACCUCCUCUUUCUCCUUUUAAUCUUGGAUGCAUUUCUUCAUUCAUUUAGUUAUCAGGACCUUUAAUCUCUGCACAUCACUGGGUGUGCAUUUAGUAGAGAGAGAGAGAGAGAGAGA
rnacentral:misc_RNA from 1 species